UGAAAUACCCACGUUAAAAUGAUUAUGCCUUUUUAUCUGGUUGAACCUAAUACUUUCUUGAUUUGAAAUUCAAAACUACAAGAGGUUGUGAUGAUUGAACACUAUUUGAAUCGAAAUUGGGUUAAUACUUAAGUAGUAAGCUCAUUUACACAGGCUAGCCAACUCGAGCUCUAUAACUGAAGCUUGGGCUGUGUGUAUAAGCCUUUGGAAUGUCACCCAAUGGUUCCGCAGUUACAACCUUACACUUUGGCAAACCAGAAGACUUUUUGGCCAGAAAAGAGUGCUCGGAUAUACGUACGUGUUCAGGGCGCACAACUUAAAAAACACAUUGAUGCAACUUUGGGUAGUGGAUAUUUGACGGAAGUUGUUUGCCUACCUCCUGGAGAAGAUCUUAACGAAUGGCUGGCAAUUAAUGUUGUUGAUUUUUUUUAAUCAAGUGAACAUCCUUUAUGGUACUCUUGCUGAGUUCCGCACACAAUCGACAUGGCCAACAUGACAGCCAGAACAAAAUGAGGUUCAAAGGAUGGUAUGUGGGUUUAACGAUGGAAGAAUUUGGAACUUGUGUUGGGCAUUCAUCAUUUGGAAGCAGAUGCCGUGAUUGUGAUUUCUGAUUACCAAGAAUAAAUGUAAUGUGAUGUAUGCUAUUGAAAAACUUUUGAAAAUUGAGGGCAUGAAGAUCUCUUUCUGGGCAGCUGUUUGCUAUUAGCCAUGAUCAAUAGUUAACCAUUCCUAAUGUUACAGGUAUAGUUUAUUAAAAAGGCGAUUGAAGAUAUGGCUGCCAGAAGUUUGGGAUACUUACUAGAAUUGCUAAUGCCAGAGCCAUCCCAAGUUGAGCCCAACUUAAAAAUCAAGUGAGUUUACAAUGGCAG